GGGAAAGGGCAGUAGACAGGUCUCCAGCUGCAGCUGGGAAGGGUUGGCCGCCCCCUUCCCCUCCUGGCCCUGACCCUUCCCAAGCCUCUGGCUGUCCAGAGCGUCUCUCAAACGUCUCUCGGGCUGCUGGCGAGCCCAGUGUAGCUCUCAUCUCUUCCCUGCAGCCUCCACCCAGGCCUGGGUCCUCUCUGACAUUUUGGCCCUUCAAGGUGAGCUAAGGGGUUUGAUGGCCUGCCUGUCGGAUCUCUCCAUAACAACCAGGCAAACGAGACAGUCACUGCUCAGAGCACCUUGGCAGGAAGCCGCUUCUCAGCAACCCGGGGAUGGAGAGGGGACCAGCCCCCCGUCCCUCCCCACCGAGGCUGCACGACAGCAGGGACACUUUCCCUUAUUCCAAGAACAAGGAGGGUGUCAUGACACUCGGCAGUCUUGUUGCCUGGACCCAACAGCCAUUGGAAAUGACUGAAAAUGCUCUAGAGAGUCUGGUGGCAGGGGCCCUGGCCUCUUCCUCAAGAGGGUUCGAGUCCUGCCCAGGGGCCUCACGGAGAGAGAUCUGUGAGGUGUCUGGCUCCUCUGUGGCCUCGAGGCUUUCAGAGGCACAGGAAGUUAGAUCCGGAAGGGCCCAGGUUCCUGAAAUGGCCACCAGAAUUGCCCGGAGGCGCCCUGGUACUAAGAGCCUGGGCCCCACCCCAGAGCUGGCAGUCACCUCUCCCAGAGUGCGACCCGGAAAUCUGUAUUUCACCAGUUCCACAGGUGAUUUUGCGACAGAGCAAAGCCCCUGACUUGUGUCCUGACUUGGACGGCUGAUCUAGCUUUGUCCCCGCCUGCAUGUCACAGAUGGGGAGAGGAAGGUGGGUGUGACAGGGCAGGUCAUGUCCACGUGCCGGGGGCCUGCAGAGCUGGUUCUGGGAAGGUGACUGAGUGCUGUGCAGUGUGACACUGACCACACAGAGGGCACCCAGCCUGGGGGCCUGGGGGGAGUCAGAGCACCACCCAGAGGCCCACCUGAAGGGCUGGUAGGGGAUGGGGGGGUGGGACGUGUGAGAUGUGCUGGUCACACAGGGUGCAGGUGGGGCCGAAGCAUACAAUGGGGACAAAAGGCCCAAGAACAGUAUCAACCUGCCAAAGACGGGGGGGUCUUGGCUCCACUAAGGGUUAAUGCGAGGCUUACCUGGUGGGUUGGGGAAACAGGAGGGACUCUCCUGAGACAGAACUGGGGCCAUGGCCACAGAGGAGUCAAGAGGUUUUGAAUGGGAGUUGGCACAGGAGAGGAAGAGGGUGACUGAAUAACCAAAGGCCUUCCUCCUCCAGGCGAGAAGGGGAGCUGACAACAGUGGCUCAGGCUGAGCUGGGGGGUAUGGUGUUGAAAACAAAAGGAAAGGAACGAAGCCAGGAGGCAACUGGGCAUCUGUCUUCAGAGUAUGCAGUCUUCAGAGUAUGCAGUAUGUGACAUGUGCACAAAUCAGCCCUGCUCCCCAAAUCUCAGGAAUAAUCUAGCCUGGUGGUUCCCGACCUGCUAAUAGUGAGAGCGGUGAUAGUGAGGGUGGCGAUAAGACCUGAUACUUGAUUCGUGCUUUCCACAUGCCAGGCUGUCAACUGUGUGCUUUCUCUGUAUUAUCUCAUUUAAUCCUCACCCGAAUCCUAGAGAUGGCUUUUAUCAUGGCUCCCAUUUUGUAGAUGAAGAAACUGAGGCUUAGAGAGUUAAGAGACUAGUGCAACUUACUGUUAUCUGUGGUUGAGCCAAGAUUUGAAUCUGAAUGUCUGGCCUCUGAGCCUCUGUUCUUAACAGUCACGUAAUCUCCCCCUCCCUCUGCACCGUGCGCCCUGUAUUUUAAAAGAUUUUUGUCUACCAAACAAACUACAUUUAUCAAGUAAUAAUUUGUUUUCCCAUUUUUUAUUAAUCAAAGCCAUGUAUGACUGCCAAUCAGGGGUUCAGAUCAGCGUGAGAUUAGCAGUGUUAUCACACUGAGUUGAUAUAAUUCCAGCCAAAAGCAAAGAAAUGAUGUCUCAGUUAGCAGUCUGUGCAGCCUUAUCUUUGGUAAGUGUGUCGUUUCUGCUAGGCAUACAGGAAUAUUAAAAACAGCUCCUGAGUCACCAUUACUACCUGUGGGAACCUGUGGGGGUCUGAAGACUGCAGACUGGGGCCAGUGGUCUAGAUCUUCCAGACCCUUCUUAUCUGCGCUGCUCAGGCCUCUGCGUCUCUGUGACCUGUUCAGGUAGCUUUCCUCCACAGAGCGGGCCGGAGACCCCCCUCUGUCCCCAAGCACCACCGCUGCCAGGGACAGAGUGAGCAGUGUGACGCCCCCUCCUGUCCUCCAGUGCACGCAGACACACACACAUGCACACACAUGAACUCAUGGACACAGCUGUGCGCGCAUCACGACCACUGCACCACCACCGCCACCAUCAGGAAUGCGGUCUUGCAGAUGGCCUCUUUCCCCAGAUCGUUCCCUGAUCCCUACUCGCUCCUGCAGACAGACACACGCACGCGCCAACACCACCCAUCUUCCUUUCCAACAGAGGGAAGUUCAGUCUUAGUCUAAAAUGUACAACGUUCUAAUCUCGCAUCACCAGAAAUGUACAAAAGCAUUAACACAUGUAAGUGCGGAGGCUAAUUCCUGACUAUAUGGAGUCUGAAUUCUGUUUUUCACACCAUGAAUCUGGCACAGCGAACCCCUAAGCAUCAUUCAUUUCCUGAAAAUAUAUUUAAUACUUAGCAUUUGUCAGGCGUUGUUAGAGCCUAAGGAUUUAUUGCAAACCAGGACCAGGCCAGCCAGGCAAAAAGGAUGUCUCCCGACAGCUCAGAUGCCAGGCUGAGUCACAGGAACCCCGGGCUGAGGGCCGGAAAGCCUGGGACCACCCAGGAAUGAAGGAGGGACCACCGCGGUUCCUGGUGAGAGUCAGCAGUGUUAGAGGCAAGGGGCCUUUUAGGAAGGCCUUUCAGGUUGAUGCCCGGAUUUCCUACCCUUUGCUGCCCUCUGAGCCUCCCCAGUGAGCCAGAGUUCCAGUGGUCUCCUUGUCGAUAGUUCUCACCUGGGAUGAUUACUGGUAACAAAGUGUCUCUGCAUCGGGCCACGGCUGCCUGGGGCCAUUGGUGGAAGGGUCAUGCCGGGGAUGCUAACAGGACAGUAGGGGCCAGAAGCUGCGAGCCAGCAGCCGGGUUUGGAUAGAAAUCCUCCCCCUGCUCGUCACUGUGGGUGCGGGCCCGACCUGUCAGCAUGAGGGACAUGGGAAUCACAAGUUCCCCUUCUGUGUCAUCACAGGGACAUACAGGCUGCAGGUAUCACCUGCUUUAGAGCUAAUAAAGUGUUUCAUAGACAGAAUCAAAUGCAAAUCUCUAGCAAGCCUGCAAAGCAGGCUGGACAGGCAUCAAUGUCCCCAUUUCCCAGAUGUGGCUCAGAGAGGGCAAGCAAAUCACUUAUGGCACACAGCUAGUGAAUGCAGAGAGGAAACUGGGACCCCACUCUGUUCUCUUUCCUGUACACCCAGUGAUGUCAGUUCAUGACAGAGCAGUUCCUGAUAGCUGAGGGGACACACAUUAGCCAGCAUAUCAGCCAGAGUCUGGGGGCUCGUAUUAGUUUCCAAAGGCUGCAGUAACA